rnacentral:rRNA from 1 species
UACGGAGGGUGCGAGCGUUGUCCGGAAUCACUGGGCGUAAAGGGCGCGUAGGCGGCAAGGUCAGUCAACGGUGAAAGCUUGGGGCUCAACCCCGAGACGGCCGUCGAUACUUCUUUGCUGGAGCACUGUAGAGGCAGAUGGAAUUCCGGGUGUAGCGGUGGAAUGCGUAGAGAUCCGGAAGAACACCGGUGGCGAAGGCGGUCUGCUGGGCAGUUGCUGACACUGAUGCGCGACAGCGUGGGGAGCAAACAGG